UUUUCUAAUAUUUCCCGCCGUUCACGAAAAUGAAUUAAGCGAGAGGAAUAAAAGAAGAGGCCGGUGCAAUUUUUCCAGCUUGUGCCAAAGAAGAUUAGACGUAGGGGAUCAAAGAAGACAUCUGAUUUAAGUGCUACCGUCACCACCUCGAGCUGAGCUUAUAUAAUUAAUAACUCCUCUUUUCCAACCAUGAUUUAACAUGCAUUUUUAAUUAAAAACAGAUAUCUUACUAUAUUUAGGAGUGUAAAUUUCACAGAAGUUUAAAUAUUUACAGUGUUAUUAAUUCUUUCCAGGAUGUUUCUGAUGAUGAAAUCAUAGCAGAUGGUGAAUUAAGUUCUGCUUCAUCCACUGAUCCAUGCUCUCUGACAGACCUUAAUUAUUAUUGUGCCUGUUACCUCACAGUUUGUGUACAUGUUAGAGCUGUUCAACAGUGAUGCUUUUACCAUCAUUGGUGGCAAGAUUUCUUUGUUCACUUUUCCAGAUUUCAAUACAGUUACAAAGAAAUUGCUGAAAUCAAAUAUGUGAUUCUUGAAAGAGAACCCAGGGACAACAUAUGGGUCUAUUAUUGCAAAUGUGUUGAAGGCACAAGGCAAACAGUUUAUUUACAGUGACUGUCACUGUCAACAACAGUCACAGGAGAUAGUUUAACGUCAGCUAGUUCUGUUUAUGGGCAUUGCAUCCAUGUUGAAGCCACUGAAAAGUUGAUGGAAAGCUUUGACAGGGAAAACAAUGUCACCCCUUCACUUACCAGAGACAUAUAUUCUCACGAUUACACUUACCAGGAGGAACAGAUGACUUAUUGCCUUUGAAUGGCAAUGAUUUUACAAGUUUUGUACAUGGCAAUAAACAGCAUGGAGUAGUUGGCCAUCAGGGUGCACUUAUCACUUGCUUUAUUUGUCAUCACCAGUGUCACAACUGUGAGCAUGUGACAAAAAAUAGCAGAAUGUGAAGAAACAAUGGAACACGAAAGGCCUGAUUUUCUGGUCGAUUUUUUUGUAUUAUAUUAUACUUGUGUUGAGGACAUCUGUGAUGGAAAAGUGGAGUUUGAUGGCUCAGAGCUCACUUUGUUAAACAUGGGUUCCUACAUUAUUUCUCAUGAGGUCUUGAGGAAUUUCAUGUUUCAUUUUCUUAAGGGGAGGUGUACUCUGUUUACAUACUACAGUGUCUGGCAAGAGAUCAUGGCUGAUGCAAAUGUAUUGGACUUCAAGGGGUUGCUAUCGUAC